AGUGAACGCUGGCGGUAGGCCUAACACAUGCAAGUCGAACGGCAGCACAGUAAGAGCUUGCUCUUACGGGUGGCGAGUGGCGGACGGGUGCGGAAUACAUCGGAAUCUACUUUUUCGUGGGGGAUAACGUAGGGAAACUUACGCUAAUACCGCAUACGACCUACGGGUGAAAGCAGGGGAUCUUCGGACCUUGCGCGAUUGAAUUAGCCGAUGUCGGAUUAGCUAGUUGGCGGGGUAAAGGCCCACCAAGGCGACGAUCCGUAGCUGGUCUGAGAGGAUGAUCAGCCACACUGGAACUGAGACACGGUCCAGACUCCUACGGGAGGCAGCAGUGGGGAAUAUUGGACAAUGGGCGCAAGCCUGAUCCAGCCAUACCGCGUGGGUGAAGAAGGCCUUCGGGUUGUAAAGCCCUGUUGUUGGGAAAGAAAAGCAGCAGGUUAAUACCCCGCUGUUAUGACGGUACCAAAAGAAUAAGCACCGGCUAACUUCGUG
rnacentral:rRNA from 1 species